UUUUUUACGCAUAUUUAAUCACCUCACUACAUUUUACUGUUCCUGUUGAUUUUCUAACAGGUAUAAAAAAACGUAUAGCAAGGUUUAUCAGUUCCUAUUAUGCGUAAAUCAAUUAAAAAGUGCUGCAUAGCGGCAAAUAAAAAAACCGCUAUCAACAGUACCGUUUUUGCGUGUCACAAAAUACCUUUUUCCAGAUGGCGGUUGAAAAGCCGCCUUUUUCUUUUCC
rnacentral:ncRNA from 1 species